GGAUCUAUUCUCUCAUCACCUCUGUACCGUCCACGUUUUUGCCCUCAGGCCCUGUUGAAGAGAAUGGACAGUCAUCUGAAAAAGACAAUUCUGAUACGUACCACGUAUACAGUUCAAUCCCUGACCGACCAGCAACAUCAGCCCAGCCGGAUGGGUUGUACAGUCUUCUGCAAGCACACUGAAACUACACCACUGGCUCUCUGUAGCUAUUUCUCACAGAAAUACUCUUUCUUGCAGGAUAACCUUUAUGUCUCAAACAUCAUGUUACUGUAAAUAAGUAUAUAAUACAUCUGCUGCAGUACCGUUUCUAUUUAUAAGCAACAUAAGUGGCUGCCAUCCCAUAGCAAAAUGUGUAGAACUGCAGGAAAUAAGCUUUAAAACUGAAUUUCUUUCUACCCCAAGGCAUAAUGUGGGAAAUUAGCUUUUUAACUGCAAAGUUCCCUCCGC